AUGGGCAGAGGACGCAGCGUCUUCAACUGUGACCUGGAGCCUGGGCCAGAAUGGAGGUCACAGGUAAGGAUGGGGGACCUGAGAGGCCUGGGGGUCCGGGUGAGAAAGAGGUCCCAGGCCUUACCUGAUGGGGCCAGGAGGAAAGUAGGCCUCCUGGAGCUGGACCCUGAGGGCCACAUGACGCUGUGCCAGGAUGGCUGCUGCUUGGGCUGCUCCCUUCUCAUCCCCACCCUCUACGGCCCGGGUCAGGCGCCCUGCCAGCUCUUCUGCAGGGGAAGAGAGAGCCAUCGCAACCCCACACUGGCUACUUCCCCCAGCCCCUCCGGCCACCUGCCUUUACCUUUCUCCAUCAAGUCUCCAGGGCUCCAAGGAAGAUCCACCUUGGGCUUGGGGGCCUUGGGUGUGGGCACUUCAAGGGGACUGGGCGGGGAGACAGGGCGCGUUUCUGGGCCUAGGGCUGGGGGCAAGCUGUCACUACCUAGGAGGAAAGAUGUGGGGUGGGCUGGUGGUCUCUUUGAGAUCUGGCCCCCCACGGAGUACACACCAAGGCCUCUGCUGUCUCACCUCAGGCUUCCAGUACCUUUGUCUCCUCCCUCCUUAGCUCAGCCCAGCCCAUGCCAGGGCCUUGCCUUGGCCCAGUCUUGGGCCUUGCACACCCCAGAGGUCCCUGCUGACUCCACUCAGAGUUGCACUUGGCUCUUUUUUGGGCUCUGGAGUCCUUCUGGCCUCCUUUGCUGCCCAGUCCCACCUGCAGCCCUCCUCCACAGGGGCUGGGCCACCUCUCUUGGCCUGUACAAGCCCUCUCAGCCAGCCAAGAAGCUCCCUGGGCCUCACAGCAGAACCAGCGGAAGUCUCCAGGAGUCCUGCAGUCAAGGUGGCCUCCUUCCAGGGAACUCCCGACGUCUCUCCUGGCUCUGCCAUCAGCACAGAGCACUCUGGGCUGAUCCCAUUCCAAACAACCCCUCUCCAGCUGGUGCUUGCCCUGAGCGUGCAACCGGCUCCCUUUCUUACCUCCCACUUACGCCCUGCCCAUGUGGUGCAGAUGCAGUUCCUUUGCUUCAAUAUUCUGAGCCAUCUGCCCACUCACAUAAGCAGGGCUCCCGAGCACCCAGCACCAGGCCUGCCUGGACUCUCUAA
rnacentral:lncRNA from 1 species